rnacentral:rRNA from 1 species
AUCCUACGGGACGCAGCAGUAGGGAAUUUUCGUCAAUGGGCGCAAGCCUGAACGAGCAAUGCCGCGUGAGGGAAGAAGGUACAGCGUAUCGUAAACCUCUUUUGUCAGGGAACAAAGGCGGGGACUAGUCCCCGGAUGAGGGUACCUGAAGAAAAAGCAUCGGCUAACUCCGUGCCAGCAGCCGCGGUAAUACGGAGGAUGCGAGCGCUAUCCGGAUUUAUUGGGUUUAAAG